rnacentral:lncRNA from 1 species
GUUAGUUUUAAAUAGACUAUUGACAAAUUACAGAUUUUUUUCACGUAUUGAAAUUAUAUUCCAGAUGAUUUUGAGAUUUACUGGUAUAAUAUUCUCCUCAUGAGGUAGGAUGGAAGGGAAGAAAUAGAGAAAAAAUGUUCUGCUCUGAAAUAAAUGUGGUGUUUCCUGACAGCGUUUGUCAAGAGAUGGGGUUCCACCAUGUAGCCCCGGCUGGUCUUGAGCUCAUGAGCUCAAGCGAUUCACCUGCCUCAGCC